GAUGAACGCUAGCGGCAGGCCUAAUACAUGCAAGUCGAACGGUGUAGCAAUACACAGUGGCGCACGGGUGCGUAACACGUAUGCAACCUACCUUACAUUGGGGGAUAGCCUUUCGAAAGGGAGAUUAAUACCGCAUAAGACAGUAACUAGGCAUCUAGUAGCUGUUAAAGAUUUAUCGAUGUAAGCUGGGCAUGCGUCCAAUUAGUUAGUUGGCGAGGUAAUGGCUCACCAAGACGAUGAUUGGUAGGGGAACGGAGAGGUCAAUCCCCCACACUGGCACUGAGAUACGGGCGAGACUCGUACGGGAGGCAGCAGUAGGGAAUAUUGGGCAAUGGGCGCAAGCCUGACCCAGCCAUGCCGCGUGCAGGAAGAAGGCGUUAUGCGUUGUAAACUGCUUUUAUACAGGAAGAAACGACCCUUGCGAGGGGCAUUGACGGUACUGUAUGAAUAAGCACCGGCUAACUCCGUGCCAGCCGCCGCGGUAAGAC
rnacentral:rRNA from 1 species